UGCAAGGAAGAAGCAAGGUCGAAGAACCAGGGCGUGGGAGCAGUGACCCGUCGAGUUGCGGACUCGAGGUCUCAGCAGGCUCCCACCUGGGACCAUACCAGUCGUCCUUACGCUUCGGGCCUGGCGUGGGUGAAACGUCGCCAGGACGUUUCCGCCAGGCAAGUUCAGCGUCUACGGCAGCGAGCGCCGGCCA
rnacentral:lncRNA from 1 species